CAAAACUUGAUUCAUCACGGUUGUCAGGGGCGCUGCGAACGCUAGUUCCCCUCCAGGGUCCUUUCACGCAGGAAACAUAUUUUUUGAAAGGCAUAAUUUCCAACUGAAACAAGAAAACGACAUUAGCAAUAUGUUGGCUGUAACCCACUAAUUCUGGUGGCCUAGCCUACCAAAUGAAUUUUGAAAGCUUUAAUUUCUACAGUACAAAAUAAACACCUUUUGACUUUGGCAGAACAAUGACAAUAAAAAUGACUUUUAUGGUUCA